rnacentral:rRNA from 1 species
UGCCAGCAGCCGCGGUAAUACGAAUGGGGCGAGCGUUGUUCGGAAUCACUGGGCGUAAAGCGUAUGUAGGCGGAUAUGAAAGUCAGAAGUGAAAUCCCGAGGCUCAACCUCGGAAUUGCUUUUGAAACUCCAUAUCUCGAGUCCCGGAGGGGCCAGUAGAAUUCCUAGUGUAGAGGUGAAAUUCGCAGAUAUUAGGAGGAAUACCAGUGGCGUAGGCGACUGGCUGGACGGGUACUGACGCUGAGACACGAAGGCUAGGGGAGCGAAAGGGAUUAGAUA